rnacentral:rRNA from 1 species
UACGAAGGGGGCUAGCGUUGUUCGGAAUUACUGGGCGUAAAGGGCGCGUAGGCGGCCUGUUAAGUCGGACGUGAAAUCCCUCGGCUCAACCGGGGAACUGCGUCCGAUACUGGCAGGCUUGAAUUCGGGAGAGGGAUGUGGAAUUCCAGGUGUAGCGGUGAAAUGCGUAGAUAUCUGGAGGAACACCGGUGGCGAAGGCGGCCAGCUGGGCCAUUGCUGACGCUGAGGCGCGACAGCGUGGGGAGCAAACAGG